GGGCGAGUGGCGGAAUUGGUAUACGCGUUCGACUUAAAAUCGAAUGUCCAAAAGACGUGCGGGUUCAAGUCCCGCCUCGCCCACCA
rnacentral:tRNA from 1 species